rnacentral:tRNA from 1 species
GGAUAUCCUGUCCGACGAGGCUUCGAUGCUGGUCGGCUCCUUGGGAAU